rnacentral:rRNA from 1 species
GACAGAGGGUGCAAACGUUGUUCGGAAUUACUGGGCGUAAAGCGCGCGUAGGCGGCCCGAUAAGUCCGUUGUGAAAGUCAAAGGCUCAACCUUUGAAUGCCGAUGGAUACUGUCGGCUAGAGUCCGGAAGAGGCGAGUGGAAUUCCUGGUGGUAGCGGUGGAAUGCGCAGAUAUCAGGAGGAAUACCGGUGGCGAAAGCGACUCUCUGGACGGCAACUGACGCUGAGGCACGAAAGCGUGGGGAGCAAACAGG